UACAGAGGGGGCAAGCGUUGUUCGGAAUCACUGGGCGUAAAGCGCACGUAGGCGGAUCUUUAAGUCAGGGGUGAAAUCCUGGAGCUCAACUCCAGAACUGCCUUUGAUACUGGGGAUCUCGAGUCCGGAAGAGGUGAGUGGAACUCCGAGUGUAGAGGUGAAAUUCGUAGAUAUUCGGAAGAACACCAGUGGCGAAGGCGGCUCACUGGUCCGGUACUGACGCUGAGGUGCGAAAGCGUGGGGAGCAAACAGGG
rnacentral:rRNA from 1 species